rnacentral:tRNA from 1 species
GUCUGCAUGGCAUAACUGGUUAGCAUGUUUAAUUGUUAACUGAAAGGUUGGUGGUUCGAUCCCACCCAGGAAUGCGGUGCA